rnacentral:rRNA from 1 species
AUUGAACGCUGGCGGCAGGCCUAACACAUGCAAGUCGAGCGAGCGGGGGAAGGGUGAGAAAUGUAUGGGGGCUGCGCGAAAGAGGGGGAUAACUGCUGGAAACGGUAGCAAAUACCGCAUACUAUCGGAUAACCCAUAUGGGAUUAGCUAGUAGGUGAGGUAAUGGCUCACCUAGGCGACGAUCCCUAGCUGGUCUGAGAGGAUGAUCAGCCCCACUGGGACUGAGUCACGGCCCAGACUCCUACGGAGGCAGCAGUGGGGAAUCUUGCACAAUGGGCGCAAUCCUGAUGCAGCCAUGCCGCGUGUAUGAAGAAGGCCCUCGGGUUGUAAAGUACUUUCAGUCGGGAGGCGUUACCUACAGAAUAAGCACCGGCUAACUCCGUGCCAGCAGCCGCGGUAAUUC